CAAUAACAAAUUCAAUUUAUUUAAUAGAUACAGGGCUAAUAAAAUUUCCUAUUUCUUCUUGUGUCUUCUGUUUUAGUAAGUUGUAUUGUUCAGGAAUUUCAUCUGGUUGUUGAAUUUAUUAACAUAAAGUUGCUCAUUAUACCUGUAGCCUCGCUAGUAUAUUCACACAUUUAUUCCUAAUAUUGGUAAUUUUUCUUUUUUUUCUUGAUCAGCUUAUGUAGGCUUUAUCGAUUUUGUUAUGCGUUCAAAAUUUAUUGUAUAUGUUAUUUUUUCUAUCGUUUAUCUGUUUUCUAUUUCACUGAUUUCUCGUCUUUACAGCUGCCUCCUUUCUGCUUUCUUUGGAGUUACAGAUCUUCCUCAGCUGACGAGAGCGUUGUGUCCUUUGACUUUACCUAAGAGUUCUGGUUGACAAGUGGAUAAUCCACAGCCAGACUCGAGGUGUUCUCCUUUCUUUUGAGGGUUAUUUGCAUAAAACUAUUCUGUGGUAUUUCUCAGAGGGAUUAAAAAUAUUUAUUGAGUUAAUUAUAUUCAAAAGAAUACAUGUUUUCUUUCUUUUUUUUUUUUUUAAAAUAAAAGAAGAACAAGUCCAGACAGGACUUGGAAGCAACUGCGUAAUCAAAUUUCAAUUUGUGUAGCCUAUCCCUUUGCCAAGAUAGCUAGUGAUACUGAGGAAAUAUCUGUCUGUCAACAGAUUUGAUUACUCACUACUUUUAAACAACUGAAAAUAAUAUUGAGUUUCAGGCGUCAGCGUAUCAACCAAGAAUUACAAAAAAAGUUCAAAUCCAUUAGGUUUUGGACAAGUAACAUAUAUUUACUUUUAAAUAUCUUGUUAAACCGAAGGUCUUACUCUAUAAAUAUAGUGGUGGCAGUUUGUGCCACCCACCAACUUCAAAGGCUGUGUGAAUGAAUCAGAGUUGUGUGUCUUUGUAAAGAGUUAUAAGAACGUAAUGAUUUAUAGGUGUUCCAACCCCUGUCUUUUUUUCCCUUUCAUGUCUUGACAAUUCUUAUCAUAGGUUCCUUACUGGUGAUUUAGUAGAAGUAGUAAGCAGAUCUUCACUUUCAAAUUACAUAGCUUCCUUAUUUAAAGCUGCAGGUUCUUGCUUCCAAGGCCAUUUGACUUCUCUGGCAAACAUUUAUUGAUAGCUUGAUAUAUGCCAGAUAUUGUUUGAAAGUGGGGGCCCAAAAAUGAAGAGGUGUAGUCUCUUUCUUUAAUGAAUUCAUCGUCUAGUGAACAUAAAAGAGAAAUAAUUGCAAUAAGUUUCGUAAGAGAGGGAUGUUCAAGUGGCAUGUGGAAGCUAGCCUAGGCUGGCUUCAGAGAAGAGGUACAAUUUCAGUGUGAUAUUAGAAGCGUGUACAUCCUUAGAGUUCAUUAAAUCGAACACUUAAUAUUUACGCAUUUCAAUGUAUUGCAAUUUUACCUUUAAAAAAAAGUGUAGAGAGAUACGGAGCUCUAGUUAAUGGGACUGCUGCUUACAGGGAUAUGGGCCAGCAAUUCUGAGAAGUCCUUCUGGGUAUUGUAGGCCUCAUUUAUAUAUACUGAUCAAGAUAUGAAUAUGAUUGAUUAUGAGAAAUAUAUUUUUGUUAAUAAGAAAAAGUCCUUAGAAAAAUAAUCAUUAGCAUAUGUAGGGUAAAAGAUACAAUGACUCUAACCAGUUCUAAAAUAAUUCAUAAGAUACACAAAUAUAGAUGUAGCUAGAUAAAUAUAUAUAAAGAGACAGGCAGAGAGAGUGAUAAAACAAAUGAGGCGAAUAUAAAUAAUUGGCAAAUCUGGAGUUCCUGUCGUGGCUCAGUGGUUAACGAACCCGCCUGGGAUCCAUGAGGAUGCAGGUUUGAUCCCUGGCCUUGCUCAGUGGAUUAAGGAUCUGGCGUUGCCCUGAGCUGUGGCAUAGGUCGCAGAUGCGGCUCAGAUCUGGUGUUGCUAUGCCUGUAGUGUAGGCCAGCACCUGUAGCUCCAACUGGCCUGGAAACUUCCAUAUGCCACAGGUGCAGCCCUAAAAAGACAAAAGACAAAAAAUAUAUAAAUAAAUAAAUACAUAAUUGGUGAAUCUGGAUAAAGGUUAUUUAGGAGUUUCUCUUACUAUUUUUGCAACAUUUAUCUGAAUUUUAAAUUAUAGCAAAGUUAAAAAUUGUGGUAAAUUCCAUUUAUCCUUCAGAAAUCGAAAGCUGUAUUUUAGAAAGAAAACAUUUCCACUAUAAGAACAGGAAAAUGCAAAUAAAUUGUUAAAUUAUAAUUCUUUCCGAAGCUAUGAGAGAACUACAUUUGCAGGACAGCCGAAGAAGUCUGGAAUUUAAAGACAGCAUCUUUAAGGAUAUAAGUAUAUCGCACCUGAGUCAAAGCAUGAGGAAGAGAAGUUAAAUGCUAUACAAGCCAAAUAAAAGAGGAAAAAUGAGACAGACACUAUAUGAAGAACUAACAAAAAUAACAUAAUGAAAGACUUCAAAAUGCAUAUUGUGAGAAAGCAAAUGUGAGAAAAAGAAAUUCAUGUAGACAAAUAACAUUUAAACUGCUGCAAACCUAAGAUAAAGAGAAAAUCUUGAAGCCGGUGCAAGUACAAUCAUAGCAGAUUUCUCAUUAGAAUAUAUACAACCCAGAAGACAAUGGCGUGACAUCUUUGAAAUACUGAAAGAGAAAAAAACCUGCCACCUCAGAAUUACACAUCCUUCAAAAAUGAAGUCAAGUAUCGGUUUGAAGAAACAGAAGCAAUCCAUUACCAGUACACCUCUGCUAAAAAGAAAAGUUAAAGAAGUCCUUUAGCAGAAGGCCCGUAAUACCUAAAACUUACUUAUACACAAAGAAGUGAAGAUCAUAGAAAUACUACAAAGUAAGGGGUGAUGGCUAAUUGCGUGUGUUAACGAGACUGAGCCAAAGGGUUCCAGAUGAUUUUGGGGUGUGCCUGUGAGGGUGUUUCUGGAUGAGAGCAGCAUUUGAAUGGGUGGACUCAGGAAAGCAGAUUGU
rnacentral:lncRNA from 1 species